UUUAAGGUGCGGAUAGCAACAUCUAUGAAAGGUUGAAGAAAUUGGAAAAUCGGAUCUUAUACCUGGAAGGAAUUUCACCAGAGUAUUCACAAGUUAUUGCUACCAUGCCGAAAAGAUUAAAAGUAGAGCACCCGGCAAGAAGAGACUUGACAGGGAGGCAAAGUCAUUCACUCCAAGACAUCGAUGAACGAAUAAAACAUCUGCAGGAGGAACUCAUUCGAAAAUCCACUCCAACCCGCCAAGAGGCAAAGACAUGAUGAUUUGAAUUUUUUUAUAUUCUCUUUAUAUUCUCAUGAAAAAUUGCAGAAUUCUAUUUACUUUU